UACGGAGGGUGCAAGCGUUGUCUGGAUUUAUUGGGUUUAAAGGGUGCGUAGGCGGUUUAUUAAGUCAGUGGUGAAAGACGGUCGCUCAACGAUUGCAGUGCCAUUGAUACUGGUAGACUUGAGUGUGAUUGAGGUAGCUGGAAUGGAUAGUGUAGCGGUGAAAUGCAUAGAUAUUAUCCAGAACACCGAUUGCGAAGGCAGGUUACUAAGUCAUAACUGACGCUGAGGCACGAAAGUGUGGGGAUCAAACAGG
rnacentral:rRNA from 1 species